rnacentral:tRNA from 1 species
GCCUGGGUGGCUCAGUCGGUUGGGCUUCCGACUUCAGCUCAGGUCAUGAUCUCACGAUUCGUGGGUUCGAGCCCCGCCUCAGGCU